GGAAAUCUGUCACGUGACUUAAAUCGCUCAACAUCCCUGACGUCACCAUGCAAUAUGGCCGAUCGUUCGCUCUGCUGACAAUCUGAAAUCUUUGCUAGCCUAAGGAACCAUUUCACUAUCAGUCGAAGGAACCUCACGGAAUAUCACGCCCAUUACUGAUCCCCAGAUUGCAGACAAGCACUCAUUAUCAAAUCAUCACCGGAGUUUGAGGUAAAGUAGAAAGCAAAUCAUGUACAUUGUUACUGUACAUUCAUGAGAUUUUGUCAGCUCUAUUAGGCUGCUAUUAAUUACAAAAGCAGCCAUGGCGCAGCUCCCCCCCCCCCAAAAAAAAAAA